UACGUAGGUGGCAAGCGUUGUCCGGAAUUAUUGGGCGUAAAGCGCGCGCAGGCGGUCCUUUAAGUCUGAUGUGAAAGCCCUCGGCUCAACCGAGGAGGGUCAUUGGAAACUGGAGGACUUGAGUGCAGAAGAGGAAAGUGGAAUUCCAAGUGUAGCGGUGAAAUGCGUAGAGAUUUGGAGGAACACCAGUGGCGAAGGCGACUUUCUGGUCUGUAACUGACGCUGAGACGCGAAAGCGUGGGGAGCGAACAGG
rnacentral:rRNA from 1 species